GACGAACGCUGGCGGCGUGCUUAACACAUGCAAGUCGAACGGAAAGGCCCUGCUUGCAGGGUGCUCGAGUGGCGAACGGGUGAGUAACACGUGGGUGAUCUGCCCCUUACUUUGGGAUAAGCCUGGGAAACUGGGUCUAAUACUGGAUAGGACCAUGCUGUAGGUGGUGUGGUGGAAAGAUUAGUUUCGGUAAGGGAUGAGCUCGCGGCCUAUCAGCUUGUUGGUGGGGUAAUGGCCUACCAAGGCGUCGACGGGUAGCCGGCCUGAGAGGGUGGACGGCCACAUUGGGACUGAGAUACGGGCCAGAGUCCUACGGGAGGGAGCAGUGGGGAAUAUUGCACAAUGGGCGCAAGCCUGAGGCAGCGACGCCGCGUGGGGGAUGACGGCCUUCGGGUUGUAAACUCCGUUCAGCCAUGACGAAGCCUUCGGGUGACGGUAGUGGUAGAAGAAGCACCGGCUAACUACGUG
rnacentral:rRNA from 1 species